AUUGAACGCUGGCGGCAGGCCUAACACAUGCAAGUCGAACGAGUGGCGGACGGGUGAGUAAUGUCUGGGAAACUGCCUGAUGGAGGGGGAUAACUACUGGAAACGGUAGCUAAUACCGCAUACAAUCAGAUGUGCCCAGAUGGGAUUAGCUUGUUGGUGGGGUAACGGCGCACCAAGGCGACGAUCCCUAGCUGGUCUGAGAGGAUGACCAGCCACACUGGAACCUAUCCACGGUCCAGAAUCCUACGUGAGGCAUCAGUGGGUAAUAUUGCACAAUUGGUGCAAGCCUGAUGCAGCCAUGCCGCUGUUAUGAAGAAGGCCUUCGGGUUGUAAAGUACUUUCAGAGGGGAGGCGUUACCCGCAGAAGAAGCACCGGCUAACUCAGUGCCAGCCGCCGCGGUAAUUC
rnacentral:rRNA from 1 species